GAGGAGGAGCCGGAGCAGCUGCUGCCAGCCCGCGGGCACCGGAGUCCUGCCCGCUGCCGCACGAGUAGCCACGGGCGCGAUCGGGGCCAGACGUGUCCUCCAUGAUCACUUUGAGAGCCGGGAGAAGACUUUGCCCGGCCGUGAGAGCUGGUCUGCGUUUCCCAGGCGCGGCAGCGGCGGCGGAGCAGCAGCAGCAGUCGAGUCCGAGUCGCAGCGGCCACAGCCCGGGGCGUGUGCGCCCCGCGCGGAGCGGGCUCGGGUUCCCCACGGAAUGUCCCCGGGGCGCCCGGAGCGCUGACCCCUCAGCCGCCACCGCCUUCGGCGCCUGCUGCCUCUCUCGGGCGGGCUCGGUGUUCGGGUCUGCGAGCCUCCCAGCUUCUGGGCAGUGGGGAAGCCCCCGGGGGCGGGUGACCUCAGCUGGCCACGACCCAGCCCUCCCCCGUACGUAUCUCGCUUAAGAUGGCAGCGGAGUCAGGGGAACUAAUCGGGGCUUGCGAGUUCAUGAAAGAUCGUUUAUAUUUUGCUACUUUAAGGAACAGACCAAAAAGCACAGUAAAUACCCACUAUUUCUCCAUCGACGAGGAGCUGGUCUAUGAAAAUUUCUAUGCAGAUUUUGGACCUCUGAACUUGGCAAUGGUGUACAGAUACUGCUGUAAACUAAACAAGAAACUAAAAUCAUACAGUUUAUCAAGAAAGAAAAUAGUGCACUACACCUGUUUUGAUCAACGGAAAAGAGCAAAUGCAGCAUUUUUGAUAGGUGCUUAUGCUGUAAUCUAUUUAAAGAAGACACCAGAAGAAGCCUACAGAGCACUCCUAUCUGGCUCAAACCCCCCCUAUCUUCCAUUCAGGGAUGCUUCCUUUGGAAAUUGCACUUACAAUCUCACCAUCCUCGAUUGUUUGCAGGGAAUCGGAAAGGGAUUACAACAUGGAUUUUUUGACUUUGAGACAUUUGAUGUGGAUGAAUAUGAACAUUAUGAGCGAGUUGAAAAUGGUGACUUCAACUGGAUUGUUCCAGGAAAAUUUUUAGCAUUUAGUGGACCACAUCCAAAAAGCAAAAUUGAAAAUGGCUAUCCUCUCCACGCCCCUGAAGCCUACUUUUCUUAUUUCAAAAAGCAUAACGUGACUGCAAUCGUGAGGCUGAACAAAAAGAUUUACGAGGCAAAGCGCUUCACAGACGCAGGCUUCGAGCACUACGACCUCUUCUUCAUAGACGGCAGCACGCCCAGUGACAACAUCGUGCGAAGGUUCCUGAAUAUCUGUGAGAACACGGAAGGGGCGAUUGCGGUUCACUGCAAAGCUGGUCUUGGAAGAACAGGGACAUUGAUAGCCUGUUAUGUCAUGAAACACUACAGGUUUACACACGCUGAGAUCAUUGCUUGGAUCAGAAUCUGCCGGCCAGGCUCCAUUAUAGGACCCCAGCAGCACUUCUUGGAAGAAAAACAGGCAUCAUUAUGGGUCCAAGGAGACAUUUUCCGAUCCAAACUGAAAAACAGACCAUCCAGUGAAGGAAGUAUUAAUAAAAUUCUUUCUAGUUUGGAUGAUAUGUGUAUUGGUGGAAACUUAUCUAAAAUACAAAACGUGGAAAGACUUGGAGAGAAUAAUUUUGAAGAGGAUGAAGAUGUGGAAAUGAAAAAUAGUAUAACCCAGGGAGACAAACUACGUGCCUUAAAAAGUCAGAGACAACCACGCUCCUCACCAUCCUGUGCAUUUAGGCUGGAUGAUAUGAAAGGGCCGCCAAGAGCAGGGUCCCAGCCUUUCAGAUUGAGUACUUCUCCACAAGGAUCUGCGUCUACCUUGAAGAGCUCAAAAGUGGCUUUGUCCCCUUCAGCGACGGCCAAGAGGAUAAACAGAGGCUCUUUGUCCUCAGGUGCCAGUGUAAGAAGCUUUUCCAUAAACUCCCGGCUAGCCAGUUCUUUAGGGAACUUGAACGCUGCCACAGAUGAUCCAGAGAACAAAAAGACCUCCUCGUCCUCUAAGGCCGGUUUCGUAGCCAGCCCCUUCACCAACCUCUUGAACGGCAGCUCCCAGCCACCCGCCAGAAAUUACCCUGAGCUCAACAACAACCAGUACAGCCGAAGCAGCAGCAGCGAUGGGAGCACUCUGAGCAGCCAGCCCACCCCCCAGAGCGCCAAGACAGAGGAGCACACCACCGUCCUCCGACCCUCCUACACCAGCCUUUCUUCUUCCUCAGCGAGAUUCCUGAGCCGCUCAAUCCCCGUUGUCUGCUGUUUAUUACUUUAAGACUGCAAGACUCUUCUGCACCAAAGCUUUUGGGUCUUAAGAUCAGAUUUCAAGGCUAGUAGUGCUUUGUGUUCCCCUAAAUGGAAAAGAUUCGUAAGUCCCUUCAGUCUGAAUAUGUUCAUUACUAAGGCCUUGCCACUCCAGUGAGAGCUGUUCCACCCUUAGACACAAUUUCUUCAUCUGGACGAGCAAUGGAGAGGGAGAACAGCUGCUUGCCGGGAGAAUAGCUCUGCCUUCUUACCUUAAAUUAAAGAAAGCGCUAAGAUAAGACCUUCGAGAGACUUGAAAUCAGAAAACUCUGGCUAAUGACUACUAUAAAUGCACUGAAACUAUGUUUAUGGAGACAUCAACACUUUUUAAGACAGUUUUAAUGUUGACUUUGGUAUUUUGAAAGGUUAUUUUUAAUGUAUUUCGGUAAUACAUUUGUUAUUACAUAGACGUGUACAGUGUUACAUUAUGUAAGUAUUGUGAACUUUAAAAGACUAUUUUGAUAAAUUUAUAAAUAUAUAAAAUUAUGUAAAAACUAGACUAUAUUUUGACUUAGAUUUUCUUGCUGUUUGCUACCAAAAAUUUGUAUUUUGAAUUUGUUUAGUAUGAUUUUGUCUACAAUGAAUAAAUAAUUCCUCUUUAUUAAGAAAAAGUAAGGGAGAAUGUUUUUGAAAGUGAUUUUUAUGUUCCCACUAUGAUGGUAGAUCUGUUCAUUCUUUCGGGAAGUCGGUCUAAUUUAACCUGUUUAUCCAAGUUUAUCUCUAUCAAGAGUAUAAUCAUUUGAUUCGGCUGAUUUAGACCAUUUCCUUUCCCUUUGUUUUUGUUUCUGAGCCAUUUAAUUUGGCAUCCUUGGGGGCUUUAACAAAAUUUAACAUCCAGCUGAAGAUCAGAAUUCGCUGCGAGUUUCUCCUGAAAGUGUGGUUUUUCUCUAUGAAAUGACUCAACAUUCCAAAUGCUUUUAUUUCUUUCUUCCUCUCAAAAGAGUUCUUAACUGGAUGAGAAUAUUCUGCGUUUGGUACGACGUGGUUGUUGCCUGUAAUCACACAUGGUCUGGCACCAGUUUCAAAUCAAUGAAGAAAUAAAACUGAGAAGGAUGCUGCUAAGUAGUUCACUGUAUUAAAGGAGCUAUGCUUAAAACAGAUUACAAACCCCUAACGCAUCAGCUAGCGUAUCAGAAACCCAAUAUGAAAAUGAAGGGACUCCAUAUAGGUACUCACAGCCCUUUCAUGUAAGUGUAAUCUUGAAUUUAGGCCUCCAGAAGCCUGUAGGCUUCAUUUCUUUGGGGAGUUGGGGAGCCUUAGAUCCCAGUUCUCUUCCGUGCUGCUUAUGAAUGGACUACUCAGAGACAGUUAAAUGGAUUCAUAUGAAGUGCUUUACUCUCAACCAUUGAGUUAUUUAUAAUGUAUUUAUUAGAAGGGGGUACCUUGAGACUAUUAUACAUGCUUCAGCAAAACAUCUUGUUCGUGUUUUACGUUUUACAAAAGGCAUUUGAAUGAAUGUUUGACUCAGGUUUGUUAACUUAACCUUCAAUAACUACAGUACCAAAUAAUUGCACUAAACUGGUGAAAAAUGAAUUGUAUGUUUUAGGAAUCAAAAAUGAAAAUAAGUGGAAUUAAAUUGUAUACUUUUUCUAAAGCUGAAAUAGUAAAAUAUUUUAUUAUGAGUUGUUGUAACAAAAGAUUGGUUAAUUGUAUAGGAAGAUGAUCGUAUUUUUUUAAAAUUAUGAGUGAAAAGUAAUUCAGAUGACAUUUGAGAAGUGGGGGGAAGGGAACCAUAUUGACCGUUUUAGUUCUGUGAGCACUAAUUUGUGUGCAGCUAUUAAAAUGAUUGUAAAAUUGUCUACUGUAAAUUUUCCAUAAUUAUGUGUGUAUAUUAGUCAUAUGUAUCUACAUGUGUAUGUCUUAAAAUUAUUUAUACACAUGUGCAUACAUAGACAAACCAAGAAGUGAUUGUAUAUAAUAUAGAAAGUAUAUAGUAAAGUAAUUCUACUCCAAUAAUAAAAAGUGUUUGACAUGUAUUUUGUUAUGAAUAGUUUACCUUCCAAAAGAUAUUUUGUUCUAUUUUAAAGUGUAGAAGAAUACACUGCUAAUAAAUAAUAAAAGUUUUAUGCAAUUUA